AGGACGAACGCUGGCGGCGUGCCUAAUACAUGCAAGUCGAACGGUCUUUCUAUGGAAGCUUGCUUCCACUGAGAAGAUAGUGGCGAACGGGUGAGUAACACGUGGGUAACCUGCCCAUAAGAGGGGGAUAACAUCCGGAAACGGGUGCUAAUACCGCAUAGUUUUCUUGAUCGCAUGAUUGAGAAAGGAAAGACGGCCUUUGUGCUGUCGCUUAUGGAUGGACCCGCGGCGUAUUAGUUAGUUGGUGAGGUAACGGCUCACCAAGACGAUGAUACGUAGCCGACCUGAGAGGGUGAUCGGCCACAUUGGGACUGAGACACGGCCCAAAUUCCUACGGGAGGCAGCAGUAGGGAAUCUUCCGCAAUGGACGAAAGUCUGACGGAGCAACGCCGCGUGAGUGAAGAAAGGUUUUCGGAUCGUAAAACUCUGUUGUCAGAGAAGAACAAGUUGGAGAGUAACUGCUCCAGCCUUGACGGUAUCUGACCAGAAAGCCACGGCUAACUACGUGCCAGCAGCCGC
rnacentral:rRNA from 1 species